rnacentral:rRNA from 1 species
CCUACGGGAGGCAGCAGUGGGGAAUCUUGCGCAAUGGGCGAAAGCCUGACGCAGCCAUGCCGCGUGAAUGAUGAAGGUCUUAGGAUUGUAAAAUUCUUUCACCGGGGACGAUAAUGACGGUACCCGGAGAAGAAGCCCCGGCUAACUUCGUGCCAGCAGCCGCGGUAAUACGAAGGGGGCUAGCGUUGCUCGGAAUUACUGGGCGUAAAGGGAGCGUAGGCGGAUAGUUUAGUCAGAGGUGAAAGCCCAGGGCUCAACCUUGGAAUUGCCCUUGAUACUGGCUAUCUUGAGUACGGAAGAGGUAUGUGGAACUCCGAGUGUAGAGGUGAAAUUCGUAGAUAUUCGGAAGAACACCAGUGGCGAAGGCGACAUACUGGUCCGUUACUGACGCUGAGGCUCGAAAGCGUGGGGAGCAAACAGGAUUAGAUACCCUGGUAGUCCACGCUGUAAACGAUGAGUGCUAGUUGUCGGCAUGCAUGCAUGUCGGUGACGCAGCUACGACAUAAGACACCUCCGCCGUCGGGGAGGUACGGUCGGCGAAGAAUUAAAACUUAACAAAUAGAAGUUAGACGGCGUGAGACGUGCCGACGGACGACGACGAGGGAGGUUAGG